rnacentral:rRNA from 1 species
UAUCAAUAAGCGGAGGAAAAGAAACCAACAGGGAUUGCCUCAGUAACGGCGAGUGAAGCGGCAAAAGCUCAAAUUUGAAAUCUGGUACCUUUGGUGCCCGAGUUGUAAUUUGAAGAUAGUUUUCUGGUGCUGGCCCUUGUCUAUGUUCCUUGGAACAGGACGUCACAGAGGGUGAGAAUCCCGUCUGGCGGGGUGUCCAGUGCUUUGUAGAUUUCUAUCGACGAGUCGAGUUGUUUGGGAAUGCAGCUCUAAGUGGGUGGUAAAUUCCAUCUAAAGCUAAAUAUUGGCGAGAGACCGAUAGCGAACAAGUACAGUGAUGGAAAGAUGAAAAGAACUUUGAAAAGAGAGUGAAAAAGUACGUGAAAUUGUUGAAAGGGAAGGGUAUUAGAUCAGACUUGGUGUUUUGUGAUUAUCUUCCCUUCUUGGGUUGUGCACUCGCAUUUCACUGGGCCAGCAUCGGUUCGGGUGGUAAGAUAAUGACAUUGGAACGUGGCACUACCUUCGGGUGGUGUGUUAUAGCCCUUGUUGAUGUUGCCUACCUGGACCGAGGACUGCGGCUUUGCCUAGGAUGCGGCGU